rnacentral:rRNA from 1 species
GGGUGCGAUCAUACCAGCACUAAUGCACCGGAUCCCAUCAGAACUCCGCAGUUAAGCGUGCUUGGGCGAGAGUAGUACUACGAUGGGUGACCUCCUGGGAAGUCCUCGUGUUGCACCCC